rnacentral:rRNA from 1 species
GAUAAACGCUGGCGGCGUGCCUAACACAUGCAAGUCGAACGAUCCCGCAAGGGAGAGUGGCGGAAGGGUGAGUAACACGUGGGAAUCUACCUCCUCGCAGGGAACAACCUCUCGAAAGAGAGGCUAAUACCCAAAAGGGUCAGAAAUGAUCAGAGUCGAAAGGCGUGAGGAGAGGAGCCCGCGGCCUAUCAGCUAGUUGGUGAGGUAAUGGCUUACCAAGGCUACGACGGGUAGGGGAUCUGAGAGGAUGUCCCCCACACUGGAACUGAAACACGGUCCAGACGCCUACGGGUGGCAGCAGUGAGGAAUAUUGGACAAUGGGCGAAAGCCCGAUCCAGCAACGCCGCGUGGAGGAUGAAGGCCUUCGGGUCGUAAACUUCUUUAGAGGGAGACGAGAAAGGACGGUAUCCCUAGAAUAAGCGACGGCAAACUACGUGCCAGCAGCCGCGGUAAU